rnacentral:tRNA from 1 species
GGGCGGUUAGCUCAGCUGGUUAGAGCACACGCCUGAUAAGCGUGAGGUCCCCGGUUCGAGUCCGGGAUCGCCCA